rnacentral:antisense_RNA from 1 species
AGCUACAUCCGUCACCUGACACGGCCCUACCAGGAACAGCCGCGCUCCCGCGGAUUCUGGUGCUGCUCGCGUCCCCGCUCCCCUAUUCCCCUUAUUUUAUUCCUGGCUCCCCUCUUCGAAAGUCUUCCAUUCUUCAAACUAGAUUAUUUAAAAAUGAAAAAGGAAGAAAGGAAAGCGAGGUCAUCUCAUUGCUCUAUCCGCCAAUCAGGAGGCUGAAUGUCAGUUUUGAACUAAAAGCCGCUCCGCUCCUCUUCUAGAUUUGGAAAACAAGCGAAAUUAAACUAAACCGCUGCACGCCUCUGACGCGACAUCUGGACACGGCGCGGCGCUGGCGCUGCCGGAGCUGUCGGCCCGGCCUGGCGCCGGACUAGUGUCCCUUUUGAUGAGAAGAAUAAGCCUCAUUGUGAUUCAACAGCAGAGAUCAAAGAAAAGACUUCUGUUUUCUGGCCACCAGAUAUAUGUUAUCUGUGCUUAAAGAAUUGAAAAACACACAUCAAAGGAGAAUUCUCUUGGAAAGAGAGGGUUCAAGCAUCACUGUUAGGUGUGCUGGAAUCCUUUCCCGAGUCAGUACUGCUUUCUAGAAGAAAACCGGGGAGAUCUAUUUGGAAUGUAUCUAACUCCAAAGGAACCAUCAGAGGUAACAGUAGAGACGGGGUUUCACCAUGUUGGCCAGACUGGUCUUGAACUCCCGACCUCGUGAUUCGCCCGCCUUGGCCUCCCAAAGUGCUGGGAUUACAGGUGUGAGACACCAUGCCCGGCGGAUAGAGAGAAUUUUGACAGAUAUGACACAUUCGUAAUUUAAACAGAAGCCUACAAAGAACUCAUAAAUUGAAAGAAGAUAAUCUUUUCACAAGGUGAUGGAGGCUUUUUAUUUUGCCACAAAACCACUGGUGACGUUGCCUGUGGCCACCUUGGAGAAGACACUGGAGACAGAGUCUCACUCUGUCACCCAGGCUGGAGUGUAUUGGCAUGAUUACAGCUCACUGUGACCUUGAACUCCCAGGCUCAAACCUGAGCAGCUGGGACUACAGGUGCACCACCAUGCAUGGAUGAUUACGGAGCUAGGAAUUUCCUACAAAGCUGGGUGAUAAAAGGACAUUGGACAAAAACACAGAUAGCUUCAUUCUAUACCAGGAUCCAUCACUGAUUAGCUGUAUUAUAUUUGUCUCUACUGUAAUUUGAGGAGAAUGAUACCUGCUUCUCUAUCUUGUUGGGUUUUACAGAUGAUGUAUUGAAAGUUCAAUAAAAUCUAUAAACAAU